UACGUAGGUGGCAAGCGUUGUCCGGAUUUAUUGGGUUUAAAGGGUGCGUAGGCGGUGUCCUAAGUCAGUUGUGAAAUACGGCAGCUUAACUGUCGAGGUGCAAUUGAUACUGGGACACUUGAGUACUGAUGAGGUAGGCGGAAUGGACGGUGUAGCGGUGAAAUGCUUAGAUAUCGUCCAGAACACCGAUAGCGAAGGCAGCUUACUAAGGAGUAACUGACGCUGAGGCACGAAAGUGUGGGGAUCAAACAGG
rnacentral:rRNA from 1 species